AGAGCCAGGCCUCGAUGAG
rnacentral:snRNA from 1 species